CUGGGACACACUGGGAUUUCAAAAUGUGUAGAUACUAACAGGCAAAUGCAGAAUAGAUAAACAAGAUUAUACUGUAUAGCACAGGGAAAUGCAUACAAG